UAUAAAAGACAUAAAAAUUGUGUCUCUAUUUUCAAAGAGCUCAUAAGCUAGAUGAUGAGAAAAAUUAACUUUCAAAAACCACUAAGCAGCCUGGCUGGCGUGGCUCAG